ACAACAUUUAAAAAAGAAAAAAAAAACAUUUUGAAUAUUCAGAGAACAUUCAGAAAUAACGUUUUAAUAACUUAAUGGGAAUGUUAGCAAAAUUUUUAGUUUAUUUUUUUAGCUGGGUAAUGGAUUUAUUUACACAAAUCAACAAUCAUGAUAUUGGGACAUAUGUGAAUAUAAUGUGAGAGGCUUUAUACCAGCCUAAUAGACAGUUUAAUCCUGCAUGAUCACACACUUUACUUUCUCUAUACUAUACUAACUCUAUACAUAUGCAGUGCUCUAUACAGUUUUACCAGUACAAACACAAUCACUGCAUUUACAUCACCAUGGAAGAAAGAUUAAAAACUGGCACAGGAUGACACCAUUUGCUCUUUAUUGCUUUAUAAUGCUUUUGAACAUUCUUUGUACAUUCCCCUGUACAUGGUAAGCUUUAGACGCUGGUUUCUAAUCACAUAAUGUCUUGAGUGGACUGAUUUAAUUAUAUUAAAUCCAGUAUAAAUUAAGUAUAUUAUUAACUUAAUUAAUAUUAAGAGUUAUGCAUAAAAAAGAACUGGAUAAUGUUCCUUAUAGGAAUAAAAUAUGGAAUAAGGAAUAAAAAGCAACAACUCAGAUCAGAUAUUUUCAACCUUCAAACAGACACUUAAACGUAGAUUUAUACUUAUAGAAAAGUCUACAAUAAUGAUUUCUACAAAAGCAUGAUCAUAACAGCAGCAUUUAUGCAUUGCAGCAUUUUAGAAUAUUUAAAAGAAUUUUUUUUUUUUUUUUUAAAUCAAAAAAUUAGCACUUGAAUUAAAAAAUCAAAAAAUUAGCAUCAAGAAAUCUGCAGCAAUCAUGAGGCUAGUUUGCUCUUUGAAAAGUUGAUGUGGAUUGAGGAAUUUAAUUAGUUUUCUCUGUUACCCAUCUGUAACAGAUGGUUAUAUUUUUCUGGUGGUUCAGGGUGGAUGAAUUAAUGGCAUGGAGGACAGCAAGCACGGACUGCUUCUUCUGUUCCUAAUCCAGGUUUACACAGCUUCCGGAUCUGUAAAAGGAAAUGACACUUAGGUGAUCGCUACACUUACAUCACCUUGAAAGCUUUAGACCUUACAUUUUCUAGCUGUUCAUGUUCUUUUGUCUUUACAUUUUAGCUUAUACUCUAUACUUAAGUAUGGAGUCUUGUAAUGUGUUAAUUUUGUAAGCUAGUAAGUAUUACUAUCAGUUAUUCUCUCAGUUUCCUGUAGAUUUUGGUGUAGAUAUAAAACGCUCCCACAAACAGUGACAGAUUCUUGAUUAGAUUGAGAUCUGGGGAAUUUGGAGGCCAAGUCAACACCUUAAACUCUUUAUGUUUCCUCAAACCAUUCCUGAACAAUUUUGCAGUGUGGCUGGGCUAUCUUUCAUCAGACUAUGUCACCUUCUUCCAUUGCUCCAUGGUCCAAUUCUCAUGCUCACAUGCCCAUUGUAGGCACUUUCAGCAGUGGACUGUGGUCAGCAUCGGCAUUCUGACCAGUCUGCAGCUACGCAGACCCAUACGCAGCAAGCUGUGUGGUUUGACACCCUUCUAUCAAAGCCAACAUUAACUUUGUCAGCAAUUUGUGUUACAGUAGCUCUUCUGUGAGAUCGGACCACAUGGGCCUUCACACCCCAUGCACACCAAUGCCUUGUGCGCCAAUUACCCUGUCACCAGUUCACUGGUUGUCCUUUCUUGGACCACUUUUGGUAAUAACCACUGCAUACCGGCAACACCGCACAAGACCUGCAGUUUUGGAGUUGCUCUGACCCAGUCAUCUAACCAUUACAAUUUGGCCCUUGUCAAAGUUAUUCAGAUGUUUACGCUUGACCAUUUUUUCUGCUUUAGACAAAUCGACUUUGAGCUGUGUGGACACUGGAAGCUCAGUGGUAAAAUGUUGGACUACUGAUCAGUCUGUCAUGAGUUCAAGUCCCACCACUACCAAGCUGCCACUGCUUGGCCUUUGAGCAAGGUUUGCUCAACUGCUCAGUUGUAUAAAAUUAGAUAAAUGUAAGUCGCUCUGGAUAAGGGUGUCUGCCAAAUGCCAUAAUGGUAGUUUGGGAAGUGAAAACUGACUGGUCACUUGCUGUCUAAUAUAUCCCCCCCAUUAACAGGUGCUAUUGUAACGAGAUAAUCAGUGUAAUUCACUUUACCUGUCAGUGGUUUUAAAAUGAUGGCUGAUCUGUGUACAUUUAAGUAUAACACUCAGAUUGUUACACUUUUUCAGUCUCUUUGUAGUCUUGUUACUCAUUUCAGUUUACAUGGGAGUACUUCGUUUCCUUUGUAAAACAAUAUUGCCCUAUUUUACUGUAUAUAGGUGCACAUCCGGAAUUUCAGCCAAAAAAAAAGAAGAAGAAGAAGUUUUGAGGAGAUGUAUCCUAGUUAUUUGCUGUGUUUUGGUCAGUAAGUAACCGUUAAUCUCAGGUAUGGAAUUGGCACAUACAGGAAUUUAAGAACAUCAGAAAAACAGAGAAACUGAGAGACUUACCAUUAUUGUGGGCGUCACGGAUUUCCCCUCUCAACAGCCCGUAGCACGACAGCGCGCGCUUCCAGGUUGUUGACAUUGACUUUGUUUACCUUCUACACGUGUGUUGUGUUUUGGUCUCAGUCCUGUCUCCGCUAUUGUUAUGUUAUUGGCUCCUUUCUAAUGUCUCAGCUGUUUUGUGUUAUUGCCUUGAUUUCGUUGAUUAUUUAAACCCUUUGUGUUUUUUUAUUCCUAAGUAACGCUCAGUGUACCUACUUGGUUUAUUAAACAGGUGUUAUUUGUAUUGCGAUCCUGGGUUGUGGGUUUUUUGUUUGUUUGUUUUUUUUAACCUCUGUUUCUGUUUUCUCGUACAUUGAAUAUUGGAUUACUCUACUGUGUUGUUUGCUGAUCGCUUGAACCGUUCCUGUUUCUGACCACGCUUUUGCCUCUCGUUUUUGGCAUUGCAUGGAUUUUCAUUAAAUAUCCUGUUUAAACUGCAAUUGCAUCAUCUGAGUGGAAUUUGUCAAUGCAGAAAAGGGGGGUCAUCAUAUUAAGCAGAUUAUCUAGUGAGAAGCAGCACUAGAAACUGCUGUUAUUGAAACCUUCUAUAAGUAGGUGUGUCCUAGCUAUUGACACUUUUUUUUCCGCUCCCUUCUUAAAACACGUACACUAGGGAUGUAAGCAAAUAUGAAUAUAUUAUUCUGAAUGAACAGAAGGUGUUCUAAACAGAUAAUAGGAAGGUGCUUCCUAUUUGUAUUUCUUUUUUUCUUCUUUUUUUUAGAAUGCUUUACAGAAAGGUUCACAUCUGGUUGAGAAUUGAGACAGGAAUCUGGAUAUCCAACAAGAUUCGGAAAAAAAAACUUUGUUUAUUAUUAUUAUAUAUAUAUUUUUACUUUCAUUUGUUCCAUCUAACCAACCUAGUACCCUAAAUUAAUGCAGCGUUACCCGAGCAGCCAGUUAUUAAAGUUUCUGUAACAGCAUCAUGCAGUGCCACAUGCUUGUGUUAAUGAAUGUGUUUUUCUUUGUCCCGCAAGCUUCCUAUCUGGAAGCGUCCCUCAGGACACCAGUGACAAUAUGCGUCUCUUGUCUCAACCAAAUGCCGGGUGAAUAUUUCUGGGAAGAUUAAAAAAGAAAUAAACAGCACACCUCUUAUUGGUAUCUGUUUAGAAUGUAUGAUCUGUUCCUUUUUGAAUGAUGUAUUUUUAUUCAGUUACUUCAAUGCAUUUUUGUUGAUACUGUGUUUUUUGUGUGUGUGUGUUUUAUUUAUUUAUUUUUUAGGCCACAAGCCUCAAUAAACUUUAUCUGCAUUGAAAACGUACUGAAUUCUUUUCUGUGUAUAAUAAUUAGAAUUCUAAUUCAAUUUUCAUUGUUUGUUUCUUCAAAUCAUUGAUUAAAAACAGAUAGAAUUACCGGAACAUGGGUGGAGUUCAAUGGUCUUGCGGUCAUGGCUGACGUGAUUUUCUAUAUUGCAGGUAAUGUUUCCUUGAUGGUUUUUAUCCAACAGGAAAGUGCUGUGCGCGGUUCCCAGCUGUGUAAGAGUGCUUAAAUCAGCAGUCCAGAUGAAGCGGAGGUUGUCUCCAUCAGCAGAACAGUGCACUUUCGUGACCUCAGCAGACAAACAACUGUACCACACCUUCACUGAGGACACCAUGGCUGCAGAUUACAG
ensembl:lncRNA